CAACUUUCAACAACGGAUCUCUUGGCUCUCGCAUCGAUGAAGAACGCAGCGAAAUGCGAUACCUAAUGUGAAUUGCAGAAUUCAGUGAAUCAUCGAAUCUUUGAACGCACCUUGCGCCCCUUGGUAUUCCGAGGGGCACACCCGUUUGAGUGUCGUGA
rnacentral:rRNA from 1 species